rnacentral:rRNA from 1 species
UCUUCCCUCUGGCUUCGUGCCUAAUACAUGCAAGUCGAGCGAACAGACGAGGAGCUUGCUCCUCUGACGUUAGCGGCGGACGGGUGAGUAACACGUGGAUAACCUACCUAUAAGACUGGGAUAACUUCGGGAAACCGGAGCUAAUACCGGAUAAUAUAUUGAACCGCAUGGUUCAAUAGUGAAAGACGGUUUUGCUGUCACUUAUAGAUGGAUCCGCGCCGCAUUAGCUAGUUGGUAAGGUAACGGCUUACCAAGGCGACGAUGCGUAGCCGACCUGAGAGGGUGAUCGGCCACACUGGAACUGAGACACGGUCCAGACUCCUACGGGAGGCAGCAGUAGGGAAUCUUCCGCAAUGGGCGAAAGCCUGACGGAGCAACGCCGCGUGAGUGAUGAAGGUCUUCGGAUCGUAAAACUCUGUUAUUAGGGAAGAACAAAUGUGUAAGUAACUAUGCACGUCUUGACGGUACCUAAUCAGAAAGCCACGGCUAACUACGUG